CUGUGCUGCACUUGGCUGUAUUAUCCUAACAUCAUUUACCACAAAAAACAACCAGGACCUAUCACGAUCUGUGUUCUUAUUAUGGCAUUAUGCCUGUACUGCUGGAGCGUUGUGCUUAGCUUCUUCUUGGAGGUCCUCGACAGGUCUUCUCCAAAACCAGAUCGAUCUGACGUAACAGCGGCAGUUGCCAAACCUCUGAUUCGGCAGGAGUCUACGUUGCAAAAUGUUAAAACGUGUUAAUGAU